GUGAACGCUGGCGGUAGGCCUAACACAUGCAAGUCGAACGGCAGCACAGUAAGAGCUUGCUCUUACGGGUGGCGAGUGGCGGACGGGUGAGGAAUACAUCGGAAUCUACUUUUUCGUGGGGGAUAACGUAGGGAAACUUACGCUAAUACCGCAUACGACCUACGGGUGAAAGCCGGGGAUCUUCGGACCUUGCGCGAUUGAAUGAGCCGAUGUCGGAUUAGCUAGUUGGCGGGGUAAAGGCCCACCAAGGCGACGAUCCGUAGCUGGUCUGAGAGGAUGAUCAGCCACACUGGAACUGAGACACGGUCCAGACUCCUACGGGAGGCAGCAGUGGGGAAUAUUGGACAAUGGGCGCAAGCCUGAUCCAGCCAUACCGCGUGGGUGAAGAAGGCCUUCGGGUUGUAAAGCCCUUUUGUUGGGAAAGAAAAGCAGCAGGUUAAUACCCCGCUGUUCUGACGGUACCCAAAGAAUAAGCACUGGCUAACUUCGUG
rnacentral:rRNA from 1 species